rnacentral:rRNA from 1 species
GACGAACGCUGGCGGCGUGCUUAACACAUGCAAGUCGAACGGAGUGGCGAACGGGUGAGUAACACGUAGGUGAUCUGCCUUGCACUUCGGGAUCACCUUGGGUAACUGUGUCUAAUACAGGAUAGUUCAAGAUGGGCUCGCGGACUAUCAGCUUGUUGGUGGGGUAAUGGCCUACCAAGGCGUCGACGGGUAGCCGGCCUGAGAGGGUGUACGGGCACAUUGGGACUACGGUAAGGCCCAGUCUCAUACGGGAGGCAGCGGUGGGUAAUAUUGUAAAAUGGGCGGAAGCAUGAUGCAGCGACGCCGCGUGGGGGAUGAAGGCCUGGGGGUUGUAAACUCCUUUCGACAGGGACGCGGUACCUAUAUAAGAAGCACCGGCUAACUACGUGCCAGCAGCCGCGGUAAUAC